rnacentral:misc_RNA from 1 species
GAUGAAGAACGUAGCGAAAUGCGAUAAGUAAUGUGAAUUGCAGAAUCCCGUGAACCAUCGAGUCUUUGAACGCAAGUUGCGCCCGAAGCCAUUAGGCCGAGGGCACGCCUGCCUGGGCGUCACACGUCGUUGCCCCCCCAUCUACUCCUUCGGGAUUGCGGGGGGCGGAUGAUGGCCUCCCGUGCGCCUCGUCGCGCGGUUGGCAUAAAUGCCAAGUCCUCGGCGACACACGCCACGACAAUCGGUGGUUGCGAAACCUCGGUUGCCCGUCGUGUGCGGUCGUCGCGCAUCGAGGGCUCGAAAAAAUUGCCGGGCUCCGGCUCGGCUUUCAACGCGACCCCAGGUCAGGCGGGGUUACCCGCUGAAUUUAAGCAUAUCAAUAAGCGGAGGA